GUAAAAAGGCCGAAACAACUUGCACCCGUUCAAACCCAUGUGAGAUUCAAUGAGGAGUGUAGUGGGGAAAAGAUUGGGAUGAUCCAAAUUUAUAUCAUUUAGACAUUUUAUAAGAUCUUACCGAACUUUCACAGGAAUAUGCAGAAGUAUUGAAUUAAAUUGAAUAAUGAAAUAAUAAACCGAAUUACCAAAGGAAUGAAUGUGAUUGCCGAACCGAAAUGCAUCAUGGGGUGUAAACAAGAUAAUCCGCCAAAAUGGGAGAACAAAGACAAAGGGAGAAAAGCCUGUAGAUAAAGGGAAAUACUGACCCCAGGAUCAUGAGCAUGGGGCCCGGCUAUGCCGAACUUGUAUAUGGCCUACUUGCAUUGAACGAUUGGUGCUAGAUGUAAACGGUGUACACACUCAGUGCCUAGAGAGUCUGAGACGUGUAGUGGGCUCAAUGUUUCUGUGACUUGUGACUGAGUACCAGCUUGCAUCAACCUAGUGUGUGGUUAUUUCAUCAAGGGCGGAUCUAAAUUUUCAAAGUUGCAGGCAGUGAGGCUCCCUGAAAGUGUUAGAGCUCAUACAUGCAUUAUGGCCCGUCAGUCCUGAGACUGGCAAACUAGUGUGUAAGAGAAAGCAUCUGAUCCAACAAGAAGAUCGUGUGGACACUGGCAGAGUUGUCAUUUUGAAAUGGCAACCAAUGCCCUCAGAAGAUGCAUACCAGAACUCACAUUGGAGAUACUUGAUAGCAGAAGCUUUGGAUAAGAGUUGCCUUGGAGAUGAUUAUUGACGAAAUACCUAGUUUUUGAAAAAAACAAUGCGUUAUAGGAAAUACG